rnacentral:rRNA from 1 species
AGUCGAGCGAACCUUCGGGUCUAGCGGCGGACGGGUUAGUAACGCGUGGGAAUAUACCCUUCACUACGGAAUAGCCUCGGGAAACUGGGAGUAAUACCGUAUACGCCCUUUUGGGGAAAGAUUUAUCGGUGAAGGAUUAGCCCGCGUCUGAUUAGAUAGUUGGUGGGGUAAUGGCCUACCAAGUCUACGAUCAGUAGCUGGUUUGAGAGGAUGAUCAGCAACACUGGGACUGAGACACGGCCCAGACUCCUACGGGAGGCAGCAGUGGGGAAUCUUAGACAAUGGGCGCAAGCCUGAUCUAGCCAUGCCGCGUGAGUGACGAAGGCCUUAGGGUCGUAAAGCUCUUUCGCCAGAGAUGAUAAUGACAGUAUCUGGUAAAGAAACCCCGGCUAACUCCGUGCCAGCAGCCGCGGUAAUACGGAGGGGGUUAGCGUUGUUCGGAAUUACUGGGCGUAAAGCGCACGUAGGCGGAUUGGAAAGUAUGGGGUGAAAUCCCAGGGCUCAACCCUGGAACUGCCUUGUAACUCCCAAUCUAGAGUUCCAGAGAGGUGAGUGGAAUUCCAAGUGUAGAGGUGAAAUUCCUAGAUAUUUGGAGGAACACCAGUGGCGAAAGCGGCUCACUGGCUCGAUACUGACGCUGAAGUGCCAAAGUGGGGGGAGCAAACAGGAUUAGAUACCCUGGUAGUCCACACCGUAAACGAUGAAUGGCAGACCUCAGGGGGCUUGCCCUUUGGUGUCACACCUAACGGAUUAAGCAUUCCGCCUGGGGAGUACGGUCCCAAGAUUAAAACUCAAAGGAAUUGACAGGGGCCCGCACAAGCGGUGG